UCAGAUAGAACGUAGACUGGCAAAAUGGUGUUCACAGAGAAUGUACAAUUAUCAAUUUACUACGAAUUCCCUGAUGGAUUUUAUCGAUACUUUAUUAGAGAAGGGUCUGAUGCCCAAUCAAGUUGUGCAGGUUCUAGAUUUUAAAUCUCUCUACCCUUCGAUACGACUAGAACUGGCCUGUCUCUUUCUCUAUCGCUUCAUGUUAGAACACCUACCUAAAAAAUAUGGUGAUCCAGAGUUAGUUAGGACAUUGUCAUCUGAUAAUACACCAGUCGUACUUUGUUUUCAAUGACAAGAUUUAUAUCCAAACACGAGGGGGCCCUAUAGGCAGCCCCGUAGCUGGGGUACUGGCAGAACUGGUGGUACGUUAUAAGGAAUCUAGCAUACAACAUCUCUUGGCCACUAAUACUAUUCUAUAUCAAUGAUAUAUUGAU
rnacentral:lncRNA from 1 species